rnacentral:lncRNA from 1 species
GAUAACACGAUUAAAAAAAUAUAUUUAAAUGUGUUUGUCGUGUCUGACACGUUAAGACAAAAUUCAAACCAAAUUAAGAGUUUUUUUUUUGAAAUUCAAACCAAAUUAAGAGUCUAGUGUUAACAUUACACCAGCAACAAAAUUCAACUAGGAUGGGAAACACCCAAAACCUCUAUUUAGGGGUUUGAAAGCCCUUGUUUCCAGUGUUUGAAGAAAUCUGAAAAAUGGUACAAAAUUAACCAAUGGUUUAUUGGUUUUCAGAUUUAGACAAGUGAACUUAGAGUAACUUAUGUGAGACUUCGGAUACUCUUGAACCUUGAGCCAAUUAGAUAUUUCACAGACAGAUUGGUUCUCCUGAGUUUAAUUUUCAAUGUCUCAAAAGAUCUUUUUUGUUGCUUAAAAGAGAAAGCACCAUAGUUGAGGUCUAGCAAUUCAUCCCAUAAGUACAUGCUUCAUUGAGAGUUUGAGACUUGGCCCCUACGCUUGUAUUUGAAUUGUGUUACACUAUGAACGCUAGAUUUUGAUUAACAUUUACAUGAUGAACGAUGAACGUGAUUAUUGAUUGGGUUGUUUAACAUAUAACCUGAUGGUUUUACCACUAGAGUUUAUGUAAAAUUAUGUGAGCACCAUGCUGUGGACGUAGAGUGAUGUUGGUGCAGGGAGAGUGAGCAUAGGAAGGGGAAAGCUCGAACCAGAAUUGUCUGAGGAUCAUUGCAAGCGCCAUUUUUGCUUCCAUCAGAGCAAAGUUCUGUCCAAUGCAGAUUCUAGGACCCCAUCCAAAAGGGAAAUAUAUGACUUGACUCUUUGUUGCUUUCGAAACCCCUUCCGAGAACCUGUCAGGAUUGAACUCAUGUGCAUCAUCGCCCCAAAGUUCUUGAUCAUGGUGAAUCAGCAGCACUGGCAGCGUAAUUUCUGCGCCAGCUGGUAACAACAAUUUUCCCAGUCUCGUAUCUUUCGGAACGGAGCGCCCUAGUGCAACGACUGCCGGGUACAGCCUAAGAACCUCGUGCAAGAUCAUUGUUACCUGUGGCAUUGAAUCAAUUAAAGUAAAUAUAGAAAAAUGUGCUCUUAAUUUGGUCCAUUAUAAUCGGAGAACAGGACUUACGACUUUCAGACGGUUCAAGCCAUCAGAAUCUGGUUUACUGUCACCAAAAACUUCCAAAACCUCUUCUCUUGCCUUAGUCUGCCAAUGUGGAUGCCUUGCCAACAAAAUCAUUGUCCAAACCAGCAAAACGGAGGUGGUCUCUUGGCCAGCAAAGUAAAACAGCUUGCACUCCUCAAUCACAUCUUCAAUGCUCAUUCCCAUGUUCUUGUGAUCCCCUUGUUCUUGAAUUUCUCUAAUGUUGGAUUCUACAAGUAUGCCUAACAAGUCAUCAUUACUGACUUCACUCGCCUUAGUUGCCUCCUCUCUUUUCUUUAUCAUUCCCUUCAGUGAGUCUUUUAUAUCUUUGGCAAUCACCUUCAUCUUCCUGUUUGUCUUAGUUGGUAGAUACCUAAUAAGACAAAUGUAAAAUAUAGCUUUUAGCACAUAAAGAAGAAAAUCCUUGACCAAAAUGGAUUGAACUGUGAAAAAUAACAAAUUUUACCUCCAUCCCGGAAUGUAAGCUGACUGUACCACUUGCAUUGUAAGACUGGUUUGAUCCUCUAGUAGUUGGAAAAUUCGUCUACCUUCUUCGUAGCUGCUUCCAAAUGCUGCUCGGGAAAUCACAUCUCUUGUCAAUUUUACGAGGUAAGGCCACACAUCUAACUCACUAGACCCCUCUAAGAAAACCAGCUUCUCCCAUUUGCUGAUCAUCUCAAUACAACUUUGAUAGAAAGCUGGCAACAUGUUCUGUAAUGAUUUCCACAUCAGGAUAAGAUUACUGUCAUUGGUACUAUUUUUGAACAAUUAAUACAUGUAUAUACUAAGUACUCAUUAACACCGUAAGCAAAUUUGGGAUGAAAUAAGUUAAUUUUGGUGCAGGGAGCCAUAAAUUUUCCUCGAUGUUUCUCCAUUAUUACUGCAUUUUCCAGGUGUUCCCAUAAAGGCUUCCUCACCAGCCACAACACUCAAAACAAACCAAGGAAGGAAUACCCAGUGCUACUCUGACUCAGUUGCAAUAAUUACCUCACCCAGGAUAAUUAAAGGAUGCAUAUUGAUAAAGAAAUCAAAAGUGGAAAUAGAACAUGCCUUCAACUUAUCUUGAUGAAAUGCAGGGUUGAUGAUCUUUCUAUGCUUAGCCCACUCCUCUCCAUCGAGGUUUACAAGUCCACUUACAAGUAAGGUGACAAGAGGGUUGCUAUGCGGCUUCUGAAAGUCAUUGAAUUUGGUAAAUAUCUCUCUUAUUUCUUCAGGUUCCAUGAUGGUCACCCUUGGAAUCGGACCAACCCAAGAAAAAGAACUCUUGCCUGCAUUUUCCCCAGAUUUCAUAUCAAAGCAUUGGGAAUUAAAAUUUUAAUUCAAAGAUUAAUUAAAUGCUUUCAGUGUGUUUAAUUACUCAAUUUUGAAUAUUCCUUUAAUAAAAUGUUAGGUUGUUGGAAUCUGCCUCAUGUACUUAACCAAUAUUUUAUAAUUCUUGUAUUUGAAUACUUAUGUUAUCCAUUAAACUUUUCAAUGCCAUUAAAACAGUAAUAAAAAUUUAUUCAAUAAUCAUUUUUGAUAAUGUACAGAAAGAAGAAGAAUUGAACAAUUAUUAACCCAAACAUGUCAUCAUACCCAACUUCAGCAAAAUGGCUUGUGGGCUCCAAUGGACUUUUGGCUUAUCCGUCACUUUCAUGUAUUUUUUAGUUUUUCUCCCAUUUGCCAUUUCAAUAUUAAAAUACUCCGGGAAAAAAAUUGGCUUAAAUUACUCAUACUAAACUUGAAUUAUGUUGUUCAGAAAAGAUUUUCCUAUAUUUUUUGAUCUAAAUUUAAACAUUUUCUUUCUGAUAGUAUUUCUUUCAAUUAAUCACUGUUUUCACUGAAUAAAACUUCGCAUGUUCAACAAUCACAGUAAUUGACACAUAUCAUUAAAAUAAUCAUCGAUUAAAUGGAUUCAUUUAAUUAUGUAUCAAAAAAUUGAUACAAAAUUAAAUACAUGUUAAAACUGAACGGACUAAAACCAUUUUUCAUGUUACUAAGAUGGAACAAAACACUAAAAAUUUUGUAAUAAAAUCAUAAUUUGAUCCAAAAAGACAACAUUCAAACUAUUAAGGGAUGAAAGAAGACCAUUUCCAAUUUAGGCAUACCAUAAUUCUUGACAGUUUGAUGAAGGAAAGGACCAACAUAUUGCGUAAUAUCAUCACCGAGGGGCAUAGGUUGGGAUCUUGCUUGUCUGCUCAUGGCGAAGCUCUCUUUGAUAUCUCCAGACAAAAACCUGUAAGAAUUGCCUGUAAGACCCUGUUGCCUCAGGCACCUUUCCAGCCUCUUUGGCUUCACCCACACCCAGUCUACGAUUCUCCAUCCCCAUAUCAAUAUCCCAACAACAAGGAAAGAAAGCGAAAUUCCAAUUACAGGGGGCACCUCCAUUUUUCUUUGCUGAGAAAAUGGUGUCUGAAGAGUAAGUGGGUUGUUUACGGAAGAGUAGACAAAGACUGAGGUUGGUUUAUGGGGUAAAAAGCUUGUGCAAUGGGCAAAGACAAAUGGUUGAUGUUACAGCUGAUAAGAGGUUCCUGGUGUCAAGGCAGGCGACGUGUACCUAAAUAUGACGAUUUAUGUUUUCGUAUCGUAAACGUAUCAAACACGAUUAGACACGAAAUAUAUUAAAAUUAAAUAUAAAUAUGAUAUAUUUAAUAUUCGUAUUUUAAAUUUAAAAUAUAUACACAUAUACGUUUAAUAAACGUAUAACAUGACACGACACGAUUAACACAUUUAUUAAACGUGUCAAUUUAUAACACGAUACGAUUAAUAAUACGUUUAACAUAAUUAUAUAAAAAUAUUUAAAAUUAAAUAUAAUUUUAUUAUUUAAAUUUAAAAUCUAUAAUUAUAAAAAUAAUUAUAAUAAAACAAAAAAAAAUAAUAUCAAAUAUAAUGAAAUUUAAUAUAAAUCACAUAUGCAAAAUUUAUUAUCAUAUAAUAUGAUAAAAUACAUCAUUAACAUCUAACUUUCAAAUACUAAUAAUAUAAAAAAUCAUUCAUAAUUUUUAAUCAUAAUAAUUACAUUAUUACAUUUAUAAAAUUAAAAAAACUUAUUAAAAUAAUUAUUUAAAAUUAUUUAUAUAAAACUAAAAUAAUCUUUAAUAAUUAUUUUUAAUAAGUUAAUAAACGUGUUACAUAUACACAUUUAAAUACGAUAACACGAUUAAAAAAAUAUAUUUAAAUGUGUUUGUCGUGUCUGACACGUUAAGACAAAAUUCAAACCAAAUUAAGAGUUUUUUUUUUGAAAUUCAAACCAAAUUAAGAGUCUAGUGUUAACAUUACACCAGCAACAAAAUUCAACUAGGAUGGGAAACACCCAAAACCUCUAUUUAGGGGUUUGAAAGCCCUUGUUUCCAGUGUUUGAAGAAAUCUGAAAAAUGGUACAAAAUUAACCAAUGGUUUAUUGGUUUUCAGAUUUAGACAAGUGAACUUAGAGUAACUUAUGUGAGACUUCGGAUACUCUUGAACCUUGAGCCAAUUAGAUAUUUCACAGACAGAUUGGUUCUCCUGAGUUUAAUUUUCAAUGUCUCAAAAGAUCUUUUUUGUUGCUUAAAAGAGAAAGCACCAUAGUUGAGGUCUAGCAAUUCAUCCCAUAAGUACAUGCUUCAUUGAGAGUUUGAGACUUGGCCCCUACGCUUGUAUUUGAAUUGUGUUACACUAUGAACGCUAGAUUUUGAUUAACAUUUACAUGAUGAACGAUGAACGUGAUUAUUGAUUGGGUUGU